rnacentral:antisense_RNA from 1 species
UGUGGGAGCUGGCUUGCCUGCGAUCCAGACACCUGGGUCCAUCAGGCAAAACCAGUGGAUGCCAUCGCAGGCGAGCCAGCUCCCAAA